CAAUAGCGUAUAUUAAAGUUGUUGCAGUUAAAAAGCUCGUAGUUGGAUUUCUGCCGAGGACGACCGGUCCGCCCUCUGGGUGAGUAUCUGGCUCGGCCUGGGCAUCUUCUUGGAGAACGUAGCUGCACUUGACUGUGUGGUGCGGUAUCCAGGACUUUUACUUUGAGGAAAUUAGAGUGUUUCAAGCAGGCAUACGCCUUGAAUACAUUAGCAUGGAAUAAUAAGAUAGGACCUCGGUUCUAUUUUGUUGGUUUCUAGAGCUGAGGUAAUGAUUAAUAGGGACAGUUGGGGGCAUUAGUAUUUAAUUGUCAGAGGUGAAAUUCUUGGUAUUUAUGAAAGACUAACUACUGCGAAAGCAUUUGCCAAGGAUGUUUUCAUUAAUACAAGAAACGAAAGUUAGGGAUCGAAGACG
rnacentral:rRNA from 1 species